rnacentral:rRNA from 1 species
UACGAAGGGUGCAAGCGUUACUCGGAAUUACUGGGCGUAAAGCGUGUGUAGGCGGACUUGUAAGUACCUUGUGAAAUCCCACGGCUCAACCGUGGAACUGCUUGGUAUACUGCUUGUCUUGAGCCACUUAGGGGCUACCGGAACAAAUGGUGGAGCGGUGAAAUGCGUAGAUAUCAUUUGGAACGCCAAUGGUGAAAACAGGUAGCUGGGAGUGUGCUGACGCUGAGACACGAAAGCCAGGGGAGCGAACGGG